GAUGAACGCUGGCGGCGUGCCUAAUACAUGCAAGUCGAGCGAACAGACGAGGAGCUUGCUCCUCUGACGUUAGCGGCUGACGGGUGAGUAACACGUGGAUAACCUACCUAUAAGACUGGGAUAACUUCGGGAAACCGGAGCUAAUACCGGAUAAUAUAUUGAACCGCAUGGUUCAAUAGUGAAAGACGGUUUUGCUGUCACUUAUAGAUGGAUCCGCGCCGCAUUAGCUAGUUGGUAGGGUAACGGCUUACCAAGGCAACGAUGCGUAGCCGACCUGAGAGGGUGAUCGGCCACACUGGAACUGAGACACGGUCCAGACUCCUACGGGAGGCAGCAGUAGGGAAUCUUCCGCAAUGGGCGAAAGCCUGACGGAGCAACGCCGCGUGAGUGAUGAAGGUCUUCGGAUCGUAAAACUCUGUUAUUAGGGAAGAACAAAUGUGUAAGUAACUAUGCACGUCUUGACGGUACCUAAUCAGAAAGCCACGGCUAACUACGUG
rnacentral:rRNA from 1 species